CCUACGGGGGGCGGCAGUGAGGAAUUUUGCGCAAUGGGCGAAAGCCUGACGCAGCAACGCCGCGUGCGGGAUGAAGGCCCUCGGGUCGUAAACCGCUUUCAGCAGGGACGAAAAUGACUGUACCUGCAGAAGAAGCCCCGGCUAAAUACGUGCCAGCAGCCCCGGUC
rnacentral:rRNA from 1 species